CGCUUUUUGACUAAUAAAAAGUACCGCCUGCUCAAUGCAUUUUGUAAAUUGCCGCGGUAUUUUGACCGUGCAAAGGUAGCAUAAUCAUUUGUCUCUUAAUUAGAGGCUGGUAUGAAUGGCGAGACGAGAAAGUUACUGUCUCUAGUGUAGUAAUUGAAUUUCAUUUUUAAGUGAAAAAGCUUAAAUUUUUUUGAAGGACGAUCAGACCCUAUAGAGCUUUUUUGUUGGGGCGACAAAGAGUUUUGAGUAACACUCUUUUAAGUAAACACAUAUUAGUGGAUAAUUGACCCCUUAGGAGGGGUUACAAGACUAAGUUACCUUAGGGAUAACAGCGUAAUUUUUUUGGAGAGUUCUUAUCGAUAAAAGAGUUUGCGACCUCGAUGUUGGAUUAAGAGAUUAGCAGGGUGCAGAAGCUUUGCAGGAAAGUCUGUUCGACUUUUAAAUUCUUACA
rnacentral:rRNA from 1 species